UACAGAGGGGGCAAGCGUUGUCCGGAUUUACUGGGCGUACAGCGCGCGCAGGCGGUUGCGUAUGUGAGCGGUGACAUCCGCGGGCUCAACCCGCGGCAGCCCGCUUACACAGCGCGACUGGAGGCAGGGAGAGGGAUGUGGAAUACCCGGUGGAGCGGUGAAAUGCGUAGAGAUCGGGUGGAACACCAGCGGCGAAGGCGGCAUCCUGGCCCUGUACUGACGCUGAGGCGCGAUAGCGUGGGGAGCAAACGGG
rnacentral:rRNA from 1 species